AGCGAACGCUGGCGGCAGGCUUAACACAUGCAAGUCGAGCGGGCCCUUCGGGUUCAGCGGCCGACUGGUGAGUAACGCGUGGGAACGUGCCCUUCGGUUCGGAAUAACUCAGGGAAACUUGAGCUAAUACCGGAUACUCCCUUAUUGGGGAAGGCUUGCUGCCGGAGGAUCGGCCCGCGUCUGAUUAGCUAGUUGGUGAGGUUAUGGCUCACCAAGGCGACGAUCAGUAGCUGGUCUGAGAGGAAGAUCAGACACACCGGGACUGAGAAACGGCCCAGACUCUUACGGGAGGGAGGAGUGGGGAAUAUAGGAAAAUGGGGGCAACGAUGAACGAGCCAGGCCGGGUGAGUGAUGACGGCCUGAGGGAUGUAAAGCUCGUUUCUACGGGACGAUAAUGACGGUACCGGAGGAAUAAGCCCCGGCUAACUUCGUG
rnacentral:rRNA from 1 species